AGAGUUUGAUCAUGGCUCAGGACGAACGCUGGCGGCGUGCUUAACACAUGCAAGUCGAGCGGAAAGGCCACUUCGGUGGUACUCGAGCGGCGAACGGGUGAGUAACACGUGAGUAAUCUGCCCCUGGCUUUGGGAUAGCCACCGGAAACGGUGAUUAAUACCGGAUAUGACAGCUUCUCGCAUGAGUGGUUGUGGAAAGUUUUUCGGCCAGGGAUGUGCUCGCGGCCUAUCAGCUUGAUGGUGAGGUAAUGGCUCACCAUGGCUUCGACGGGUAGCCGGCCUGAGAGGGUGACCGGUCACACUGGGACUGAGACACGGCCCAGACUCCUACGGGAGGCAGCAGUGGGGAAUAUUGGACAAUGGGCGGAAGCCUGAUCCAGCAACGCCGCGUGAGGGAUGACGGCCUUCGGGUUGUAAACCUCUUUCGCCUGUGACGAAGCGCAAGUGACGGUAACAGGUAAAGAAGCACCGGCCAACUACGUGCCAGCAGCCGCGGUAAUACGUAGGGUGCGAGCGUUGUCCGGAAUUAUUGGGCGUAAAGGGCUCGUAGGCGGUUUGUCGCGUCGGGAGUGAAAACCAGGUGCUUAACACCUGGCUUGCUUUCGAUACGGGCAGACUAGAGGUAUUCAGGGGAGAACGGAAUUCCUGGUGUAGCGGUGAAAUGCGCAGAUAUCAGGAGGAACACCGGUGGCGAAGGCGGUUCUCUGGGAAUGACCUGACGCUGAGGAGCGAAAGUGUGGGGAGCGAACAGGAUUAGAUACCCUGGUAGUCCACACCGUAAACGUUGGGCGCUAGGUGUGGGGUCCAUUCCACGGAUUCCGUGCCGCAGCUAACGCAUUAAGCGCCCCGCCUGGGGAGUACGGCCGCAAGGCUAAAACUCAAAGGAAUUGACGG
rnacentral:rRNA from 1 species